rnacentral:rRNA from 1 species
GAGUUUGAUCAUGGCUCAGAUUGAACGCUGGCGGCAUGCCUUACACAUGCAAGUCGAACGGCAGCACGGGAGCUUGCUCCUGGUGGCGAGUGGCGAACGGGUGAGUAAUGCAUCGGAACGUAUCCUGGAGUGGGGGAUAACGUAGCGAAAGUUACGCUAAUACCGCAUAUUCUGUGAGCAGGAAAGCGGGGGUACCUUCGGGCCUCGCGCUCUUGGAGCGGCCGAUGUCGGAUUAGCUAGUUGGUGAGGUAAAGGCUCACCAAGGCGACGAUCCGUAGCAGGUCUGAGAGGAUGAUCUGCCACACUGGAACUGAGACACGGGUCCAGACUCCUACGGAGGCAGCAGUGGGGAAUUUUGGACAAUGGGGGCAACCCGUGAUCCAGCCGAUGCCGCGUGAGUGAAGAAGGCCUCGGUUGG